CGGAGGAUCCGAGCGUUAUCCGGAUUUAUCGGGUUUAAAGGGUGCGCAGGCGGGAGAUUAAGUCGGCGGUGAAAUUUUGCAGCUCAACUGUAAAAGUGCCUUCGAAACUGGUUUCCUUGAGUGUAGAUGAAGUAGGCGGAAUUUGUGGUGUAGCGGUGAAAUGCAUAGAUAUCACGAGGAACUCCGAUUGCGCAGGCAGCUUACUAAACUACUACUGACGCUCAGGCACGAAGGCGUGGGGAUCAAACAGGAUUAGAUACCCUGGUA
rnacentral:rRNA from 1 species